AUGAAUCUCCCCGUCGCCGUGAGUCGCUGGUGCUGCCUCGUCUUGCCCUGGAUUCGAAGCCGCCGCCUUCACGGACAUACAGCCACAACCUGGAUUUUCUCCACCGCUAUCUGCUUGAUUGCCGGGUCUCCCGCAGGACGCAAACUGCUGUCGAGCCGCCUGACCGGCAGCGGUCUCGAGCCCGGACUCGGGUCACCUGCUGUCAUCUUGGUCUCGUACAACUCAGCCUGUGAGUCGCCGUCCCGUCGGGCCUCUGCGGAGAGUCACCCUUGCUGGCCGCACCACAGGCCACCGGUGCCUUACUCCUCCUUCCUCGUCCUACACUUAGUCACCCACGGCCUUGUCCUGGCGGUUCUGUUACAAAAUUGCCCUCGCCUAAACCGGCCGGGCGUCGCUCCGUGGCGGACCCGCCUGCGCCGAGCCACCACCGUGGCCUCGCAGCUGUCGAGCCGCCCGCGAUCGAGCCGCGUCUCGAGCCGCUCCGUCACCAUGGUUCUGCUUGCCGCCGCCUUCAAGUUCCCGGCGACGUGCCUCCGCCUCGUGCCGUUCAAGCCGCUGUCCGAAUCACCCUGCGCCAAACUACCGCUGCCAUUGAUUCAGCCGUGGCUCCGGCCUAUUUUUUCGCCCAAGGCCUCUGCAAGUCUCUGUAAUGCCUCGGCGUCUGUCCGAGUCGCCGUCCUGCCUUGUUCUUCAUCCGAAUCGCCGUUGCACCUCGCCUCCUGGAGAUAUUGCUGUCGCGCACCAUGCCAUGUUUUGAGCCACCACGUCCAGGGCUGGCCCAGCCCUCCGUCUCUGCAGUUGGCUCCGCCUGCCCGGGCCGCCGGGUCUCCGCGACCAUCUCCACUCCCCCAGCGGUCGGCCUCGCCUGUGCCUGGCUGCCGUGUCUCCGCCUGUGCCUGUGCCUGGCUGCCGGGUCGCCUGUACCGCUGCUGCUGCAAGCCUCCCUUGACGGCGUUGUCUCUGCUGCCGAGGCCCGCGCCUCCACGGCCACCGGCUGGUGGUGCUUGCAUCCUACCGCUGUGGUUCCCGCCAGUGGCCAGUCGUCGGUGUUUGUUGCUGUGGGAGUAA
rnacentral:rRNA from 1 species